rnacentral:rRNA from 1 species
UCUCGUGGAAAAUGGCGCACGGAUGAGUAACGCGUGUGAAUCUAACCUAUGGUACGGAACAAUGCAGGGAAAUAGCGCUAAUAACGUAUGAGCUCCUCCGAGGAAAGAUUUAUCUCCGCAGAUGGGCCCGUGUCAGAUUAUGUAGUUGGUGAUGUAAUGGCUCACCAGGCUGAGAUCCGUAUCUGGUCUGAGAGGAUGAUCAGCCACACUGGGACUGAACACGGCACAAACACCUACCGGAGGCAGAAGUGGGGAAUAUCGGACAAUGGGGGAACCCAGAUCCAGCCAUGACGCGUGAGUGAUGAAAGGCUUAGGGUGUAAAGCUCUUUCGAGGAGGCAAGAUAAUGACGGUACCCGAACAUGACCCGCGGUAUAACUCCGUGGCAGCAGCCGCGGUAAU